AAAUUAGAAAUUAGUGAUAUAAAAGAAAUUGUGUAACGCAUUGACCACUAUUCUACCAACUAAAAUGUACGUAAAGUUUGUGUGCUAGCUGUGUUGAGAUAUCGUCACUUGGUGUAAGUGGCAUGAGUUGCUGUCGCUCGAUUUAGGUGGCAGUAACGACUGUGUUGGGAUAUCGUCACUUGGUGUAAGUGGCAUGAGUUGCUGUCGCUCGAUUUAGGUGGCAGCAACGACUGUGUUGAGAUAUCGUCACUUGGUGUAAGUGGCAUGAGUUGCUGUCGCUCGGUUUAGGUGGCAGCAACGACUGUGUUGAGAUAUCGUCACUUGGUGUAAGUGGCAUGAGUUGCUACCGCUCGAUUUAGGUGGUAGUGACGCCUGGUUGUGAGAUAUCGUCACUCAGUAGAGUGGCAUGAGUUGCUACCGCUCGAUUUAGGUGGUAGUGACGCCUGGUUUUGAGAUAUCGUCGCUCAGUAGAGUGGCAUGAGUUACUAUCGCUCGUUUAGGUGAUAGUAACGACCGAUGUGUAAAGAGUAAUUGGAUUUUCAAGUUUGGUUGUUUAUAGUGUGUGAAUACUGGUCAAUGGUCCGUGUAUUGUUAGUUGAUGAUUUAUCAUGAUGUAAUGUGAGCUCAUGUAGAGUCACAAGUAGAGCUCGUGUAGAGUCACAAGUAGAGCUCGUGUAGAGUCACAAGUAGAGCUCGUGUAGAGUCACAAGUAGAGCUCGUGUAGAGUCACAAGUAGAGCUCGUGUAGAGUCACAAGUAGAGCUCGUGUAGAGUCACAAGUAGAGCUCAUGUAGAGUCCUUUAUAGAGUCUCAUGUUAGGUCAGGAAUGACCGAGCGAACUUGGAUACUGUGCUGUGGUAUAUUGUUUCAGAUUAACACACGAGGACGUGUGUCACGCAGGAUGGCCGUGUCGGAGUUGGUUAUGAAUUAAGAAGAGAAAUGGAUCAAAUCGGAAAAUAAAAUGAAGUUACAUCACUUCCGUCAUGAAGUUGCAACGCUCCGACGAAAGGUGGCGUACGAGCAGAGCGGAGUGAAGUCGGGGGAGUCACUACAGAGUCGUCGUGUCGAGCGGACGUGCACUGCCGUUCUAGUCGGGCAGUCUACCGCGAACCUUCGUCGUGAACGGACGUGUCGAAUAAUUACGAUCGGAACGUGGAGUGCUAUAGUCGCUCACCUAUAACUUGUAGGGACGUCAAGAAAGUGUGAUCGGAAAAGAGCACGUGUCCCGAUGAUUCGGUCCGAAUAUAGGAACCAUGGGUGGUGGAGGGCAAGUAGAGGGCGAGUAGCCCCUUCGCGCUAACGUCCUUAUGCGCGCUAGAUAACGAGAGACUGUGUAACCGUUACGAAUACCGUGACGUUGCCGUGAGUGUGUACCUUAUGCUGUGACUUUAUUUAAUCGUGAUACAAAAACUAUGUGGAAGUAAAUAAAAUGAUUGUGAUACUGAU